UACGUAGGGUCCGAGCGUUGUCCGGAAUUACUGGGCGUAAAGAGCUCGUAGGUGGUUUGUCGCGUUGUCCGUGAAAACUCACAGCUUAACUGUGGGCGUGCGGGCGAUACGGGCAGACUGGAGUACUGCAGGGGAGACUGGAAUUCCUGGUGUAGCGGUGGAAUGCGCAGAUAUCAGGAGGAACACCAGUGGCGAAGGCGGGUCUCUGGGCAGUAACUGACGCUGAGGAGCGAAAGCAUGGGGAGCGAACAGG
rnacentral:rRNA from 1 species